rnacentral:rRNA from 1 species
AUUGAACGCUGGCGGCAGGCCUAACACAUGCACGUCGAGCGAGCGGCGGACGGGUGAGUAAUGUCUGGGAAACUGCCUGAUGGCGGGGGAUAACUACUGGAAACGGUAGCUAAUACCGCAUACCAUCAGAUGUGCCCAGUUGGGAUUAGCUAGUAGGUGGGGUAAUGGCUCACCUAGGCGACGCGCCCUGGCUGGUCUGAGAGGAUGAACAGCCACACUGGAACAGGGACACGGUCCAGACUCCUACGGGAGGCAGCAGUGGGGAAUAUUGCACAAUGGGCGCAAGCCUGAUGCAGCCAUGCCGCGUGUAGGAAGAAGGCCUUCGGGUUGUAAAGUACUUUCAGCGAGGAGGCGUUACUCGCAGAAGAAGCACCGGCUAACUCCGUGCCAGCAGCCGCGGUAAUUC